AACGAACGCUGGCGGCAGGCUUAACACAUGCAAGUCGAGCGCCCCGCAAGGGGAGCGGCAGACGGGUGAGUAACGCGUGGGAAUCUACCCAUCACUACGGAACAACUCCGGGAAACUGGAGCUAAUACCGUAUACGUCCUUCGGGAGAAAGAUUUAUCGGUGAUGGAUGAGCCCGCGUUGGAUUAGCUAGUUGGUGGGGUAUUGGCCCACCAAGGCGACGAUCCAUAGCUGGUCUGAGAGGAUGAUCAGCCACACUGGGACUGAGACACGGCCCAGCUGCCUACGGGAGGAAGCAGUGGGGGAGAUUGGACAAUGGGCGCAAGCUUGAUCCAGCCAUGCCGCGUGAGUGAUGAAGGCCCUAGGGUUGUAAAGCUCUUUCACCGGUGAAGAUAAUGACGGUAACCGGAGAAGAAGCCCCGGCUAACUUCGUGCCAGCCGCCGCUGUAA
rnacentral:rRNA from 1 species